rnacentral:rRNA from 1 species
UGGGUAAUCUACCUCUGGGUGGGGAAUAACCCUGGGAAACCGGGGCUAAUACCGCAUAACACUGAAGGGUCAAAGGCGCAAGUCGCCUGGAGAGGAGCCCGCGGCUGAUUAGCUAGUUGGUGGGGUAAAGGCUCACCAAGGCUUUGAUCGGUAGCCGGCCUGAGAGGGCACACGGCCACACUGGCACUGAAACACGGGCCAGACUCCUACGGGAGGCAG